AUUGAACGUUGGCGGCAGGCCUAACACAUGCAAGUCGAACGGUAGCACAGAGAGCUUGCUCUCGGGUGACGAGUGGCGGACGGGUGAGUAACGUCUGGGAAACUGCCCGAUGGAGGGGGAUAGCUACUGGAAACGGUAGCUAAUACCGCAUAACGUCGCAAGACCAAAGUGGGGGACCUUCGGGCCUCACACCAUCGGAUGUGCCCAGAUGGGAUUAGCUAGUAGGUGGGGUAAUGGCUCACCUAGGCGACGAUCCCUAGCUGGUCUGAGAGGAUGACCAGCCACACUGGAACUGAGACACGGUCCAGACUCCUACGGGAGGCAGCAGUGGGGAAUAUUGCACAAUGGGCGCAAGCCUGAUGCAGCCAUGCCGCGUGUAUGAAGAAGGCCUUCGGGUUGUAAAGUACUUUCAGCGGGGAGGAAGGCGGUGAAGUUAAUAACUUCACCGAUUGACGUUACCCGCAGAAGAAGCACCGGCUAACUCCGUGCCAGCAGCCGCCGCUG
rnacentral:rRNA from 1 species